rnacentral:rRNA from 1 species
GAUGAACGCUGGCGGCGUGCCUAAUACAUGCAAGUCGAACGCGAGCCUUCGGGCUCGAGUGGCGAACGGGUGAGUAAUACGUAAGCAACCUGGCCUUUACAGGGGGAUAACUGAUGGAAACGUCAGCUAAGACCGCAUAGGUACAGAGAUCGCAUGAUAACUGUAUUAAAAGUGCUACGGGACUGGUAGAGGAUGGGCUUACGGCGCAUUAGCUUAGUUGGAGGGGUAACGGCCCACCAAGGCGACGAUGCGUAGCCGACCUGAGAGGGUGACCGGCCACACUGGGACUGAGACACGGCCCAGACUCCUACGGGAGGCAGCAGUAGGGAAUUUUCGGCAAUGGGGGGAACCCUGACCGAGCAACGCCGCGUGAAGGAAGAAGGAAUUCGUUCUGUAAACUUCUGUUAUAAAGGAAGAACGGCACAUAUAGGGAAUGAUAUGUGAGUGACGGUACUUUAUGAGGAAGCCACGGCUAACUACGUGCCAGCAGCCGCGGUAAUACGUAGGUGGCGAGCGUUAUCCGGAAUUAUUGGGCGUAAAGAGGGAGCAGGCGGCAGCAAGGGUCUGUGGUGAAAGGCUGAAGCUUAACUUCAGUGUGCCAGAGAAACCGGGCAGCUAGAGUGCAGGAGAGGAUCGUGGAAUUCCAUGUGUAGCGGUGAAAUGCGUAGAUAUAUGGAGGAACACCAGUGGCGAAGGCGACGAUCUGGACUGCAACUGACGCUCAGUCCCGAAAGCGUGGGGAGCAAAUAGGAUUAGAUACCCUAGUAGUCCACGCUGUAAACGAUGAGUACUAAGUGUUGGGAGUCAGAUCCCAGUGCUGCAGUUAACGCAGUAAGUACUCCGCCUGAGUAGUACGUUCGCAAGAAUGAAACUCAAAGGAAUUGACGGGGGCCCGCACAAGCGGUGGAGCAUGUGGUUUAAUUCGAAGCAACGCGAAGAACCUUACCAGGUCUUGACAUCCGGAUAAAGGCUCCAGAGAUGGAGAGAUAGAUAUAUCCGAGACAGGUGGUGCAUGGUUGUCGUCAGCUCGUGUCGUGAGAUGUUGGGUUAAGUCCCGCAACGAGCGCAACCCCUGUUGCUAGUUGCCAUCAUUAAGUUGGGGACUCUAGCGAGACUGCCGGUGACAAGCCGGAGGAAGGCGGGGAUGACGUCAAAUCAUCAUGCCCCUUAUGACCUGGGCUACACACGUGCUACAAUGGACGGAUCAGAGGGAAGCGAAGCCGCGAGGCGGAGCGAAACCCAGAAACCCGUUCUCAGUUCGGAUUGCACUCUGCAACUCGAGUGCAUGAAGAUGGAAUCGCUAGUAAUCGCGAAUCAGAAUGUCGCGGUGAAUACGUUCUCGGGCCUUGUACACACCGCCCGUCACACCACGAGAGUUGAUAACACCCGAAGCCGGUGGCCUAACCGAAAGGGAGGAACUGUCUAAAGGUGGGAUUGAUGAUUGGGGUG